rnacentral:rRNA from 1 species
AUUGAACGCUGGCGGCAGGCCUAACACAUGCAAGUCGAACGAGUGGCGGACGGGUGAGUAAUGUCUGGGAAACUGCCUGAUGUAGGGGGAUAACUACGGGAAACGGUAGCUAAUGCCGCAUACCAUCAGAUGUGCCCAGAUUGGAUUAGCGAGUUGGUGGGGUAACGGCUCACCAAGGCGACGAUCCCUAGCUGGUCUGAGAGGAUGACCGGCCACACUGGAACUGAGACACGGUCCAGACUCCUACGGGAGGCAGCAGUGGGGAAUCUUGCACAAUGGGCGAAAGCCUGAUGCAGCCAUGCCGCGUGUGUGAAGAAGGCCUUCGGGUCGUAAAGUACUUUCAGCGGGGAGGCGUUACCCGCAGAAGAAGCACCGGCUAACUCCGUGCCAGCAGCCGCGGUAAUAC